UACGUAGGGUGCAAGCGUUGUCCGGAAUUAUUGGGCGUAAAGAGCUCGUAGGCGGUCUGUCGCGUCGGCUGUGAAAACCCGAGGCUCAACCUCGGGCCUGCAGUCGAUACGGGCAAACUAGAGUACUGCAGGGGAGACUGGAAUUCCUGGUGUAGCGGUGAAAUGCGCAGAUAUCAGGAGGAACACCGGUGGCGAAGGCGGGUCUCUGGGCCACUACUGACGCUGAGAAGCGAAAGCAUGGGGAGCGAACAGG
rnacentral:rRNA from 1 species